rnacentral:rRNA from 1 species
GGGUGAGUAAUGCUUGGGAAUAUGCCUUAUGGUGGGGGACAACAGUUGGAAACGACUGCUAAUACCGCAUGAUGUCUACGGACCAAAGUGGGGGACCUUCGGGCCUCACGCCAUAAGAUUAGCCCAAGUGGGAUUAGCUAGUUGGUGAGGUAAUGGCUCACCAAGGCGACGAUCCCUAGCGGGUUUGAGAGGAUGAUCAGCCACACUGGGACUGAGACACGGCCCAGACUCCUACGGGAGGCAGCAGUGGGGAAUAUUGCACAAUGGGCGCAAGCCUGAUGCAGCCAUGCCGCGUGUGUGAAGAAGGCCUUCGGGUUGUAAAGCACUUUCAGUAAGGAGGAAAGGUUAAGUGUUAAUAGCACUUAGCCGUGACGUUACUUACAGAAGAAGCACCGGCUAACUCCGUGCCAGCAGCCGCGGUAAUACGGAGGGUGCGAGCGUUAAUCGGAAUUACUGGGCGUAAAGCGCACGCAGGCGGUUUGUUAAGCGAGAUGUGAAAGCCCCGGGCUCAACCUGGGAACUGCAUUUCGAACUGGCAAACUAGAGUGUGAUAGAGGGUGGUAGAAUUUCAGGUGUAGCGGUGAAAUGCGUAGAGAUCUGAAGGAAUACCGAUGGCGAA